CUUAACUAAUACGUUGUUAAAGCACCCUUUGCUUUGCACAUCUUUAUUUGGGAAUUGUAUUUCACUCUUCUUUGCAAAAAUGCUCCAGAUCUAUCAAUCCGCAUGGGCUCUCCUGGGCACUGGGCACAAGUCAUUCCACAGGUUUUCGAUAGGAUUUAGAUUUAGAUUCUGACUGGACCCAUUCCAAAACGUUGAUCGUCUUCUUAUGGCAUUCCUUAGCUGACUUGGAUUUUUAUUGUGCUGGAAGAUGAAGAAAAAGCAUUUAUUUGUCACAUAAAUGUUACAGCAGAGUGAAAUUCUUUUUCCGCAUAUCCCAGGUAUGGGGUCAGAGCACAGGGUCAGCCAUGAUACAGCCCCCCUGGAGCAGGGAGGGUUAAGGGACUUAGUAGCAGCUUGGUUAUGCUGGGACUUGAACCCCAGACCCUCUGAUCAGGACCCCAGAGGUUUUGAGCUCGUUUCAACCCCUUGAACCACCAAUGCCCCAAUUCAAAAUCAGUUGUCUAGCAGACGCCUGCAAGAUUGAUAGUUUCGAACCAAAACAGAUUGAUAUUUGGAGAUAUCCAUGAUUCCAUCUAUCUCUCUGAAGAGAAGCACCACUGUAGAAUGAUGCUGCCACCACCAUGCUUCACCAUGGGUGUGUCUUUCUUUGGGCGAAGCUGUAUUGUUUUUGUGGCAAAGAAUUACUAAAAAAAAACCCCUCUUCAGACAAUAACAUAUUAUUCCGCAUGAUUUGGGGUGAUUUAGAUGGGCUUGGAUGUUGUGAGAAAGGGCUUCCGUCUAGCCACCCUACCUUAUACCCCACACAUAAAGGAUAUGAGAGAUUGUUGUCACAUGCAGGGAGUAACCAGUUAUUCCUACAGCUCCUUUAAUGUUGACGUAGGUGUCUUGGCAGCCUCCCUGAUAAGGUUUCAAGACUUUAUGAUCUUUGUGAUGUCACUCUGGUGGCCCAUUUCCUCCACUUGUUGAUGAUGACUUUCACAGUGUUCCAUGCUCUUUGCAGACCAUGGUUUCAGCAGUCGGACGAAACCAAGAAGAUGUGAAGAAAAUCCUACAGAAACAGCUGGUCUUUAUUUGGGAUGGCGCUGCGACUGCAUGGAAAAUAAACAGAAACAGGAAAUAAAAAACAGCCAGUGAUGACUUCAUUGUAACUACGAAACAAAACAAAAAAGAUAAUUGUACAAUAAAAGUGUAGACUGUUUAAAUUUUAUUAUUAUUAUUAUUUUUUUUACCUUUGUUGAUU
ensembl:lncRNA